AACGUAGGAGGCGAGCGUUAUCCGGAUUUACUGGGUGUAAAGCGCAUGCAGGCGGUUCGCUAAGUUGGGUGUGAAAGCUCCUGGCUCAACUGGGAGAGGUCGCUCAAGACUGACGAACUAGAGGACGGUAAGGGGAAGCGGAAUUCCGGGUGUAGUGGUGAAAUGCGUAGAUAUCCGGAGGAACACCAGUGGCGAAGGCGGCUUUCUGGACCGCACCUGACGCUCAGAUGCGAAAGCUAGGGUAGCAAACGGGAUUAGAGACCCCGGUAGUCCUAGCUGUAAACGAUGUGAACUUGGCGGCGGGCGGGUAAAACCGCUCGGUGCCGAAGCUAACGCGAUAAGUUCACCACCUGGGGACUACGGCCGCAAGGUUAAA
rnacentral:rRNA from 1 species